CAAGAAUGUGGAGCGCAUUGCUUCGGCUGGAUUUGCAAAGAGCAAUGGAAAUGCCAACAACAAUUCAGGUCAUCUGGAAAAGGGUCUUGAUAAUGGAAGUAAUGCAGAGAAGAAGCAGAACUUGACCAAUAAUCCUGGUAAUGUUAGCGUUAAAGAAGAGGGUGUCAAUUCGCUUGUUCGUAAUAACUCCUGAGAAUUCUUCACUGCUCCAGCCAACAGCCAAAAGCUAAUAUCCUAGAUUCAUAGGUUGCUAAAUUACUGGAAUUCUCUCUGAUACAAGGAAAUCUUCUGUGACAUAUUUUUGCCAAAAGAAGUACUAAUUUUUCUCUCAGCGCAUUGCAUUGUUUCUACACUUAUAUAAAGCUUGUUGUUAUGUACAAUUGAUUAGGGUACAUGUUCAUAUAUGUUGAUUAGACUCUGGCUGGCCA
rnacentral:misc_RNA from 1 species